GUCAUUUAAAGAACCUUACCUUGCUGAAGAAAUUCAGGUUGGAUUUGCUGCCCAAACAUUUGGAUCUGGUGACUGUGGAUCAGGAGCAAGGUUGGAUUUCCCUAAGAAAAGCUUGUGACAAAGAUUCAAGUGCUAGUAGCUCAUGUGAGUGAUGAUGUCUGGAAACACAGGUAGGAGACAGAGAAGAGAACGGCAAGCAGCCAAUAGAGGGCACAUUACCUGGGAAGUUACCACUGUGAGUAACUGGAGCUGACCCCAACUCUAGGAGACAGUAUGGAGCAUGGGUCUCAAAGUUAUCUCAACAAAGGGGUGAAUGGGCUGUUUAUACAUGAAUUCCAUCAACUAUUGGCUGACAGCUCAUCCAGGAGCAUAAUUCUUCAGCACUUCUGGCUGCUAAGCACAUGGACAAAGAAAACUCAAUUGGAAAUAUAGCAAGAAUACACUGAAAUAGUGAGGGUGAAUGUAUGGGCUGUUGCACAC
rnacentral:lncRNA from 1 species